GGUGGAGGCAGCUCAAACUCUGAGUGUAGCACAUUCACUAUCAUUACUCUGGAUGCUGUUGGUCCAUUAUUGAUAAGCACUGCUUCAUGUACCUUUCCAGUCCUCCACCUCUGUGAUCAGGCUGGGAGCCCCCCCCCCCUCCUCCUACUUUUCCUGUGUUUGCCGGUCUGAGCGGGAUGCCAGCAGGUCCUCCAGGGAGAAGCUGGAGUGUGACUCUCCACAGUCUGUUUGUCACCAGACUCUUCUUUCCGUCUCAGUCUCCAAAACAAACUCAUCCUCAGCCAAAUCAACAUGACAGGCUGUCAACUCAUCAACAAGACAAACUCCUCUGCUCAGCACAGUCACUCUGCUCCCCCGUGAACCCUGUGACCUCUGACGACAACCUGAGACUAAAGACGAUGAAGAGACAGCGUCUUCCUCUGUUUCUCUGCUGCCCUUCAUCUGUAACACCUGAAAGUCCUGAGCCAGCAGAAAACAUGGAGAGAGUCUGACCAGAGACGGUACGAGGCCUCGGGCUGAGACGUCCUGCUGCUGCAGAAGACGCUGGUCAGAGGAGGCCGCUCACUGGGAGACUGUUGAAGAUGGUGCUCAAGCUUUGGUCUGAGGAAGAGACAUGAAUGCGGAAAGGAGGACCAUGAGAGGGAAGAGGGAGUGCCAGACACCCAGAGAAACUUCGAGUGUUUUAGGUUCUACAUGUUUUUACUCUAAGGCUCACAUUCAGACAGAAACUGAGCUAAUCAAACAAAAACAGAGUCAGUUCUUGAUCUGAGAGACAAUCAAGGGGAAUAAAAAACAGCUAGAUGUAAGAAAACAGACUUAUUAAGAGAGAGAGAUGAAUCAGAUCAGAACAGAUCAUCUCAGGAGACAUGACGAUGAUGGUGAUGAUGAUGAUGAUGACGAUGACGAUGAUAAUGAUGAUGACGAUGAUGAUAAGUCCCAUUAAAGUU